rnacentral:rRNA from 1 species
GAGUUUGAUUAUGGCUCAGGAUGAACGCUGACAGAAUGCUUAACACAUGCAAGUCUACUUGAAUUUGGGUUUUUUAACUUCGAUUUGGGUGGCGGACGGGUGAGUAACGCGUAAAGAACUUGCCUCACAGCUAGGGACAACAUUUGGAAACGAAUGCUAAUACCUGAUAUUAUGAUUUUAGGGCAUCCUAGAAUUAUGAAAGCUAUAUGCGCUGUGAGAGAGCUUUGCGUCCCAUUAGCUAGUUGGAGAGGUAACGGCUCACCAAGGCGAUGAUGGGUAGCCGGCCUGAGAGGGUGAUCGGCCACAAGGGGACUGAGACACGGCCCUUACUCCUACGGGAGGCAGCAGUGGGGAAUAUUGGACAAUGGACCAAGAGUCUGAUCCAGCAAUUCCGUGUGCACGAUGAAGUUUUUCGGAAUGUAAAGUGCUUUCAGUUGGGAAGAAAAAAAUGACGGACCAACAGAAGAA